rnacentral:rRNA from 1 species
GAUGAACGCUGGCGGCGUGCCUAAUACAUGCAAGUCGAGCGAACAGACGAGGAGUUUGCUCCUCUGACGUUAGCGGCGGACGGGUGAGUAACACGUGGAUAACCUACCUAUAAGACUGGGAUAACUUCGGGACACCGGAGCUAAUACCGGAUAAUAUAUUGAACCGCAUGGUUCAAUAGUGAAAGACGGUUUUGCUGUCACUUAUAGAUGGAUCCGCGCCGCAUUAGCUAGUUGGUAAGGUAAGGGCUUACCAAGGCAACGAUGCGUAGCCGACCUGAGAGGAUGAUCGGCCACACUGGAACUGAGACACGGUCCAGACUCCUACGGGAGGCAGCAGUGGGGAAUCUUCCGCAAUGGGCGAAAGCCUGACGCAGCAACGCCGCGUGAGUGAUGAAGGUCUUCGGAUCGUAAAGCUCUGUUAUCAGGGAAGAACAAAUUUGUAAGUAACUAUGCACGUCUUGACGGUACCUAAUCAGAAAGCCACGGCUAACUACGUG